GUCCAGGGGCGGGAAUAGAACCCACAACCUUCUGCUUACCGGGCAGGUGCCAUGUCCACUAGGCUACCCUGGA